GCCCCUGUAGUAUAACUUGGAUAGAAUGCGAGCUUGCGGAGCUUGAGAUUCGGGUUCAAAUCCCGGCAGGGGCG
rnacentral:tRNA from 1 species